rnacentral:rRNA from 1 species
AAUAGAUACCCGGGUAGUCCACGCCGUAAACGAUGAGUGCUAAGUGUUAGAGGGUUUCCGCCCUUUAGUGCUGAAGUUAACGCAUUAAGCACUCCGCCUGGGGAGUACGGCCGCAAGGCUGAAACUCAAAGGAAUUGACGGGGGCCCGCACAAGCGGUGGAGCAUGUGGUUUAAUUCGAAGCAACGCGAAGAACCUUACCAGGUCUUGACAUCCUCUGACAACCCUAGAGAUAGGGCUUCUCCUUCGGGAGCAGAGUGACAGGUGGUGCAUGGUUGUCGUCAGCUCGUGUCGUGAGAUGUUGGGUUAAGUCCCGCAACGAGCGCAACCCUUGAUCUUAGUUGCCAUCAUUAAGUUGGGCACUCUAAGGUGACUGCCGGUGACAAACCGGAGGAAGUGGGGAUGACGUCAAAUCAUCAUGCCCCUUAUGACCUGGGCUACACACGUGCUACAAUGGACGGUACAAAGAGCUGCAAGACCGCGAGGUGGAGCUAAUCUCAUAAAACCGUUCUCAGUUCGGAUUGUAGGCUGCAAC